rnacentral:rRNA from 1 species
GAUGAACGCUAGCGGCAGGCUUAACACAUGCAAGUCGAGGGGUAUAGUAGCAAUACUAGAGACCGGCGCACGGGUGCGUAACGCGUAUGCAACCUACCUUUUACAGAGGGAUAGCCCAGAGAAAUUUGGAUUAAUACCUCAUAGUGUUAUUAGAUGGCAUCAUUUGAUAACUAAAGUUCCAACGGUAAAGAUGGGCAUGCGUCCUAUUAGCUAGAUGGUAAGGUAACGGCUUACCAUGGCUGCGAUAGGUAGGGUCCUGAGAGGGAGAUCCCCCANACUGGUACUGAGACACGGACCAGACUCCUACGGGAGGCA